rnacentral:rRNA from 1 species
GAGUUUGAUCCUGGCUCAGGGUGAACGCUGGCGGCAGCGCUUAAUGCAUGCAAGUACGAGCGUGAUCGUGGCUUCGGCCACAAUGAUAAAGCGGCAGACGGCUGAUUAACGCGAGAGUAAUCUGCCCUCCGGUGGGUGUAUAACCUCGGGAAACUGAGGAUAAUCCCGCAUACGACCUGCAUCCCUUGGGGUGCAGAUGAAAGGCUUCGGUCGCCGGAGGAGGAGCUCGCGUCCUAUCAGGUUGUUGGUGGGGUAAUGGCCUACCAAGCCGAUGACGGGUAGCUGGUCUGAGAGGAUGACCAGCCAGAGGGGGACUGAGAACGGCCCCCACCCCUACGGGAGGCAGCAGCAGGGAAUCUUGGGCAAUGGGCGAAAGCCUGACCCAGCGACGUCGCGUGGGGGACGAAGGCCUUCGGGUUGUAAACCCCUUUUCCGAGGGAAGAGAAAGGACGGUACCUCGGGAAUAAGCCCCGGCUAACUACGUGCCAGCAGCCGCGGUAAUACGUAGGGGGCGAGCGUUGUCCGGAUUUAUUGGGCGUAAAGAGCUCGUAGGCGGUUGCGUAAGUCGGAUGUGAAAACUCAGGGCUCAACCCGGAGACGCCAUCCGAUACUGCGCUGACUAGAGUCCGGU